CCUACGGGCGGCUGCAGUGGGGAAUAUUGGGCAAUGGGCGCAAGCCUGACCCAGCAACGCCGCGUGAAGGAAGAAGGCUUUCGGGUUGUAAACUUCUUUUGUCAGGGACGAAGCAAGUGACGGUACAUGACGAAUAAGCCACGGCUAACUACGUGCCAGCAGCCGCGGUAAUACGUAGGUGGCAAGCGUUAUCCGGAUUUAUUGGGUGUAAAGGGGGUGUAGGCGGGAAUGCAAGUCAGAUGUGAAAACUAUGGGCUCAACCCAUAGCCGGCAUUUGAAACUGUAUUUCUUGAGUGCGGGAGAGGCAAUCGGAUGUCCGUGUGUAGCGGUGAAAUGCGUAGAUAUACGGAGGAACACCAGUGGCGAAGGCGGAUUGCUAGACAGUAACUGACGCUGAGGCGCGAAAGCGUGGGGAGCAAACAGGAUUAGAUACCCCUGUAGUC
rnacentral:rRNA from 1 species